ACUUGUCCCGGUGCUUGGAUUGCAGCACAUGGGCCAGCUCGCGCAGGUGGCCCCGGUGCCGCUGUUCAUCGGGCCGCGCGGGGAAGGCGGCGGCCAAGAUGCGCUCCGUCACGUAGGGUGGAGAGAAACUAGGAGAAAAGCACAGGAUGUAGAGGUCUAUUCGGCAUAAUCUUCUCCCUCAUUUUCAUCUUCACCAUCAACAGAGAGAGCAGCAUACUUGCUUGCAGAACUGAACUUCUGUAACACAACGAGAGUGACAGGAUAAUGAAGGCCCUGAAUUAUCACAUCAAAACCCAAGACACAGGAUACUGAUCCUUUGGCAAUGGGGGAUGACAGUCAGAUGACACCCACUUGCUUGCUCAUCAGCAUUGUCCAUUGGAGAGGAGCUAGGGAAGAGGGUCAGAGGCACAUGCGAUCUUACUAUAGUCUCAUACCACCUCUACACCUUGCAGAAGGGAUGAGAACAAAGGAAGACAGAAACCAGGAAAAAGCUAAACUUCUUUCGCUAUUUCAGUAAAGACCAAUGUCUUAUUUCCAAACACUUUGUAUUCCAAAUGGAAAGAAGUCCAACGGCAAAAAGUUUAGAAUACUAAGAAUUUUUAAUUCUUAGUAAGAAUACUUAGAAUUCUAAGAAUUUUUCUUAGAAUGAAAAAUUGGGAGCAGCCUUCAACACUUACGGAAGCUGGAUUUUCCUCAGGUUUCUUUGGCUCAGGUGCAGAUCUGGAGUCUUGAUCCUUUUUGCCAUCUUUCCUGCAGAGACGUAAGCAUAAAACCAUGUCUUUAGGAAAGGACUCGCCUAAUACAAACAUGUGUAUGCAUGCAGUUUCAAGGCACUGAACAGGCACCUCUAGUCAACAGUCCUUGUUGUCUGGAUGAUGUAUUACUUCUAGAUUUUCAGAAUCUUAACUGUCUACGUUGGCUGACUUUAGUUUGCUCACAAUGAGCGAUCUGGCAGUGCUCUGAGAACCAAGAACUUAAUUUCUUAAUUACACAAACAUGUGGAUCAGAGGAAAGAUGAGAAAGAGAACAAGCAUACCUAUCUGACUCCUUCCAGUGGUCUCUGUUCCCUCCGUCGCCUGGACCACGGCUAGAGUUCCCAGUUUGGCCUUUUGGGGCAUUCAUCCCAUCUACUUUAUUUUCAUCUGCUUGGGCAGUAAUGUAAACAAAUUAAAGGCAAGUAAAAGUAUCAAUGUCCCUCUCCUAAGAUUUCCCUUAAGCUGAAGAAAAUUGUGCCCACAUGUACUGAGGGAAACUAACCUCACCCCAACCC
rnacentral:lncRNA from 1 species